UACGUAGGGGGCAAGCGUUAUCCGGAUUUACUGGGUGUAAAGGGAGCGUAGACGGCGAUGCAAGUCUGAAGUGAAAGGCGGGGGCCCAACCCCCGGACUGCUUUGGAAACUGUAUGGCUGGAGUGCAGGAGAGGUAAGUGGAAUUCCUAGUGUAGCGGUGAAAUGCGUAGAUGUUAGGAGGAACACCAGUGGCGAAGGCGGCUUACUGGACUGUAACUGACGUUGAGGCUCGAAAGCGUGGGGAGCAAACAGG
rnacentral:rRNA from 1 species